rnacentral:rRNA from 1 species
GAGUUUGAUCGUGGCUCAGAUUGAACGCUGGCGGCAUGCCUUACACAUGCAAGUCGAACGGCAGCACGGGAGCAAUCCUGGUGGCGAGUGGCGAACGGGUGAGUAAUACAUCGGAACGUGCCCAAUCGUGGGGGAUAACGCAGCGAAAGCUGUGCUAAUACCGCAUGAGAUCUACGGAUGAAAGCAGGGGACCGCAAGGCCUUGCGCGAAUGGAGCGGCCGAUGGCAGAUUAGGUAGUUGGUGGGGUAAAGGCCUACCAAGCCUGCGAUCUGUAGCUGGUCUGAGAGGACGACCAGCCACACUGGGACUGAGACACGGCCCAGACUCCUACGGGAGGCAGCAGUGGGGAAUUUUGGACAAUGGGCGCAAGCCUGAUCCAGCCAUGCCGCGUGCAGGAUGAAGGCCUUC